AUGAACGCUGGCGGCGUGCCUAAUACAUGCAAGUCGAGCGAACGGACGAGAAGCUUGCUUCUCUGAUGUUAGCGGCGGACGGGUGAGUAACACGUGGAUAACCUACCUAUAAGACUGGGAUAACUUCGGGAAACCGGAGCUAAUACCGGAUAAUAUUUUGAACCGCAUGGUUCAAAAGUGAAAGACGGUCUUGCUGUCACUUAUAGAUGGAUCCGCGCUGCAUUAGCUAGUUGGUAAGGUAACGGCUUACCAAGGCAACGAUGCAUAGCCGACCUGAGAGGGUGAUCGGCCACACUGGAACUGAGACACGGUCCAGACUCCUACGGGAGGCAGCAGUAGGGAAUCUUCCGCAAUGGGCGAAAGCCUGACGGAGCAACGCCGCGUGAGUGAUGAAGGUCUUCGGUUCGUAAAACUCUGUUAUUAGGGAAGAACAUAUGUGUAAGUAACUGUGCACAUCUUGACGGUACCUAAUCAGAAAGCCACGGCUAACUACGUG
rnacentral:rRNA from 1 species